UAGGGAAUCUUCCGCAAUGGGCGAAAGCCUGACGGAGCAACGCCGCGUGAGUGAUGAAGGUCUUCGGAUCGUAAAACUCUGUUAUUAGGGAAGAACAAAUGUGUAAGUAACUAUGCACGCCUUGACGGUACCUAAUCAGAAAGCCACGGCUAACUACGUGCCAGAAGCCGCGGUAAUACGUAGGUGGCAAGCGUUAUCCGGAAUUAUUGGGCGUAAAGCGCGCGUAGGCGGUUUUUUAAGUCUGAUGUGAAAGCCCACGGCUAAACCGUGGAGGGUCAUUGGAAACUGGAAAACUUGAGUGUAGAAGAGGAAAGUGGAAUUCCAUGUGUAGCGGUGAAAUGCGCAGAGAUAUGGGGGAACACCAGUGGCGAAGGCGACUUUCUGGUCUGUAACUGACGCUGAUGUGCGAAAGCGAGGGGAUCAAACAGG
rnacentral:rRNA from 1 species